rnacentral:rRNA from 1 species
UUAAGCGACUAAGCGUACACGGUGGAUGCCCUGGCAGUCAGAGGCGAUGAAGGACGUGCUAAUCUGCGAAAAGCGUCGGUAAGGUGAUAUGAACCGUUAUAACCGGCGAUGUCCGAAUGGGGAAACCCAGUGCAAUUCGUUGCACUAUCGUUAACUGAAUACAUAGGUUAACGAGGCGAACCGGGGGAACUGAAACAUCUAAGUACCCCGAGGAAAAGAAAUCAACCGAGAUUCCCCCAGUAGCGGCGAGCGAACGGGGAGCAGCCCAGAGUCUGAAUCAGCUUGUGUGUUAGUGGAACGGUCUGGAAAGUCCGACGGUACAGGGUGAUAGUCCCGUACACCAAAAUGCACAGGCUGUGAACUCGAAGAGUAGGGCGGGACACGUGGUAUCCUGUCUGAAUAUGGGGGGACCAUCCUCCAAGGCUAAAUACUCCUGACUGACCGAUAGUGAACCAGUACCGUGAGGGAAAGGCGAAAAGAACCCCGGCGAGGGGAGUGAAAAAGAACCUGAAACCGUGUACGUACAAGCAGUGGGAGCACCUUUAUGGUGUGACUGCGUACCUUUUGUAUAAUGGGUCAGCGACUUAUAUUCUGUAGCAAGGUUAACCGUAUAGGGGAGCCGCAGGGAAACCGAGUCUUAACUGGGCGUUAAGUUGCAGGGUAUAGACCCGAAACCCGGUGAUCUAGCCAUGGGCAGGUUGAAGGUUGGGUAACACUAACUGGAGGACCGAACCGACUAAUGUUGAAAAAUUAGCGGAUGACUUGUGGCUGGGGGUGAAAGGCCAAUCAAACCGGGAGAUAGCUGGUUCUCCCCGAAAGCUAUUUAGGUAGCGCCUCGUGAAUUCAUCUUCGGGGGUAGAGCACUGUUUCGGCUAGGGGGUCAUCCCGACUUACCAACCCGAUGCAAACUACGAAUACCGAAGAAUGUUAUCACGGGAGACACACGGCGGGUGCUAACGUCCGUCGUGAAGAGGGAAACAACCCAGACCGCCAGCUAAGGUCCCAAAGUCAUGGUUAAGUGGGAAACGAUGUGGGAAGGCACAGACAGCCAGGAUGUUGGCUUAGAAGCAGCCAUCAUUUAAAGAAAGCGUAAUAGCUCACUGGUCGAGUCGGCCUGCGCGGAAGAUGUAACGGGGCUAAACCAUGCACCGAAGCUGCGGCAGCGACACGAUGUGUUGUUGGGUAGGGGAGCGUUCUGUAAGCCUGCGAAGGUGACCUGUGAGGGUUGCUGGAGGUAUCAGAAGUGCGAAUGCUGACAUAAGUAACGAUAAAGCGGGUGAAAAGCCCGCUCGCCGGAAGACCAAGGGUUCCUGUCCAACGUUAAUCGGGGCAGGGUGAGUCGACCCCUAAGGCGAGGCCGAAAGGCGUAGUCGAUGGGAAACAGGUUAAUAUUCCUGUACUUGGUGUUACUGCGAAGGGGGGACGGAGAAGGCUAUGUUAGCCGGGCGACGGUUGUCCCGGUUUAAGCAUGUAGGCUGGUUAUCCAGGCAAAUCCGGAUAAUCAAGGCUGAGGUGUGAUGACGAAGCACUACGGUGCUGAAGUAACAAAUGCCCUGCUUCCAGGAAAAGCCUCUAAGCAUCAGGUAACAUCAAAUCGUACCCCAAACCGACACAGGUGGUCAGGUAGAGAAUACCAAGGCGCUUGAGAGAACUCGGGUGAAGGAACUAGGCAAAAUGGUGCCGUAACUUCGGGAGAAGGCACGCUGGUGUGUAGGUGAAGCCCCUGCGGGUGGAGCUGAGACCAGUCGAAGAUACCAGCUGGCUGCAACUGUUUAUUAAAAACACAGCACUGUGCAAACACGAAAGUGGACGUAUACGGUGUGACGCCUGCCCGGUGCCGGAAGGUUAAUUGAUGGGGUUAUCCGUAAGGAGAAGCUCUUGAUCGAAGCCCCGGUAAACGGCGGCCGUAACUAUAACGGUCCUAAGGUAGCGAAAUUCCUUGUCGGGUAAGUUCCGACCUGCACGAAUGGCGUAAUGAUGGCCAGGCUGUCUCCACCCGAGACUCAGUGAAAUUGAACUCGCUGUGAAGAUGCAGUGUACCCGCGGCAAGACGGAAAGACCCCGUGAACCUUUACUAUAGCUUGACACUGAACAUUGAGCCUUGAUGUGUAGGAUAGGUGGGAGGCUUUGAAGCGUGGACGCCAGUCUGCGUGGAGCCAACCUUGAAAUACCACCCUUUAAUGUUUGAUGUUCUAACGUUGGCCCCUUAUCGGGGUUGCGGACAGUGUCUGGUGGGUAGUUUGACUGGGGCGGUCUCCUCCCAAAGCGUAACGGAGGAGCACGAAGGUUAGCUAAUCCUGGUCGGACAUCAGGAGGUUAGUGCAAUGGCAUAAGCUAGCUUGACUGCGAGCGUGACGGCGCGAGCAGGUGCGAAAGCAGGUCAUAGUGAUCCGGUGGUUCUGAAUGGAAGGGCCAUCGCUCAACGGAUAAAAGGUACUCCGGGGAUAACAGGCUGAUACCGCCCAAGAGUUCAUAUCGACGGCGGUGUUUGGCACCUCGAUGUCGGCUCAUCACAUCCUGGGGCUGAAGUAGGUCCCAAGGGUAUGGCUGUUCGCCAUUUAAAGUGGUACGCGAGCUGGGUUUAGAACGUCGUGAGACAGUUCGGUCCCUAUCUGCCGUGGGCGCUGGAGAAUUGAGGGGGGCUGCUCCUAGUACGAGAGGACCGGAGUGGACGCAUCACUGGUGUUCGGGUUGUCAUGCCAAUGGCACUGCCCGGUAGCUAAAUGCGGAAGAGAUAAGUGCUGAAAGCAUCUAAGCACGAAACUUGCCCCGAGAUGAGUUCUCCCUGAGACUUUAAGUCUCCUGAAGGAACGUUGAAGACGACGACGUUGAUAGGCCGGGUGUGUAAGCGCAGCGAUGCGUUGAGCUAACCGGUACUAAUGAACCGUGAGGCUUAACCU